ensembl:lncRNA
UUUAACGGCGGUUGGCAUCCAGCUUAUUGGUGCAAUACCGCCCUCUUCUGUCCCGGAGUGUGGAUCAGAUAAUAGGUUUUCCUACUAAAGGUACGCAUCACUCACAUUGUCCACUACCAUUAAUAUCUACACACACCUUAUGCAUCAAAUCCUGCCUAAAACCCCUGCUUUCCUUAAAAAACGUAAUCAAUAUUCUACCCUGUGCCCUACUGAAAGCAGCCAACAACUUAUCAUUUUGACAUCUCGCGUGAUUCUGUGAGAUUUCGACAACUUCAAGUUACGCCUCCUACUUCAAGUUACGCCUCUUUCAAGUUACGCCCCUGUCUUGCAGUCUGCAGACGUACACGCUUGUGGUCAAGACGGACAGUUCUGAGCUCUCAAAGUGGAACAGAUACCUACGAGAUCAAAGGCAGAUAUCGCGUUAUUCUCACUCACGUGCUGUGUUGCUAAUAAACAUGAUAUAAUUUCAGUUCUGUUGCUUUUAUAUGAAAAUAAAUAUGAUGAACAAGACACUCAAGGUGCUUGCUAUUUAAUUCCAUACGAAAGCCGUAUUUAUCAUCCGUUUUUACUUUAAUACAAACAUGUAUUUUAGAUUUUUAUAGAAAUAUGACAACAAUCACAUAUCUCACACAUAUAUCGCACUGUAAUAGUGUUUGGGAAGAUUCAUGAAUAAUUUAAAUACAUAAUCACAUGAAAUCAGAUAAAAAAAUAAAAUAUUUUAGAAGAGAACGCAGCAUCACAGUUGUCUGAACCAAUGAGAUUUAAGCUGUGUCGUCAGUCAGUUGUUUCCCAUCAUGCUUUUGAUCAGCGCAGUCGGUGGAGAGCCACUGCACUCGACUGCUCAAUCCGACACAGCCUCGCCGUCGCGAGAGUUUUUCGGCACACGUCAGCAUGACAUCAGAGCAAGGCGGACGUAACUCGGACACUUUUCUAACCGGCAUGCAUCUCGCGGUGAUCACCGGUGAUCGGUUCUGCGCAGAUUUUGUUCAUCUCAAACAAGCCUAAAUUCUCUCCCCAAUGUGACGUAAUGCAAUGCAUUGUGGGGGAAAGGAGAAUCGUUGCAAACCGCUGUAAGAUAGUACCUACUUUUUCGUAUUUUAUUCCAUUUUGUGAUACCCAACAACAUAAAAUACAAUGGAUAACAGUUUAAAUGUUCAUUACCAACAAGCAAAUUGCACAAAUUCGUUGAAAAAUUAACCAUGCAACACGAGCUUUCGGCGGGUAGUCGCCAAUGGCGACCUCAGCAAAAACGUCACUCGCAAAUUAAUAUUUAUGGUCGCAAAUGCGACCGUUUUAGUCGCAGUUUGGGAAAAUGGCCAGCAUCAGUCCGUCCCCUGUAUUCAAUCUGCAUGCUUUGUUUAAAUUGUCGAGACAGGGGUAACUGCAGCCUGGAGGAAUGGGCGUGCCAAAAGGUUUCUCAUUGGUCAAAGGAGUUUUACUGUGUUGGCCAAUCAGCGGUAAAUAUACAUGUACGUAAUUUCCUUUAGACAAGAGAAGGUGGCGGCGAUAAGACGUGAGAUAAUUAUUCAUCAUACGUUUAUCUAUAAUUUAUAUACCACAAAUAUGUAUAUUAAGAUAGCUUGUUACAAUACGAUCAUAAUUUUCCCUUUGCGUUAUAUCUUGCAGCUUUAGUAAUUGGUUUAUUGUUGUUGACAGACAUACUGUAUGUACAGUGAGACAAAACGAUGACCGCAUCUGCAUCGAAGGCGAAGACUUCAGAGCUGAUAGUUUGUAUCGGCGUCCUUUUUGUGCAAUACAGUACAGAAUACAUCCUGUAUCCAACUAAUGCAGAGUAUAUUCAAGUUGCCAACACACUGGUUGUGAAGAACCCUGUCCAGAGAAAUAUAAAAGGAAAUGACUGUCACACCUGACACAUCCCUAAACCGGAAAUUUAAAGCAGAACGUGCACCACUUGCAGGUUAUUGUAGCAUAUGAAACUUGUGUUGGGGAGGAUUCAGUGUCUGUUGAGAACCAUGUGAAUGUGCUACAAAGUGAGUAUCAGAAAACACAUCCAGACACCUGGACUGUCAAAGACCACUCGGCACGAACAUUCUCCUGGAGAUGCUGAGAAAGCACAGAAGGAAUGUCUGUGGAGGAUGUACUCAAACACACCCAUACUUAAGGACACCUGCUGGAGGGGACCCUGCUACACCCUUUCCUACCAUACAGCUGAUGGAUACUGACUGGAAAAUGGUAAUCAUAGGAGGAGGGCUCAGUGUGGUGACAGAAGAUGGAAUAGACGUGUGCCAGUGCACCAGCCUUGAUGAAGCCUUCAUAACAGCCUUCUGUAUCAUUGACUGGAAGUCUGUCAGUCCAGAUGUGAGGAAGACCUACAGAGUGAGUUUGAGCUCAGCAGGUGUGAUGGCUGUGGAUGCAUCUACAAAAACACCACUGGAUACUGUAGCCAUGGAAAGAAGGGGGUCUUCACAGCUUUCUAUUCAGACAAAGAGUUUGCUGAAUUCUGUUCUAUGGACUGCUACUACAGAAUGAAUGAAUGAGUGGUUUAUCUAUCUAUCUAUCUGUCUGUCUAUCUAUCUAUCUAUAUAUAUUUUUUUUUUACUUGAAUUGGCGAAUGAAACUGAAAGCUAAAUAAAUGUUUUAGUGGAUAAAGCUGUGUCUGUUUGCUUAUGUCACUGACUUCUGUCUUCUGACUAAUUUUUAAAUUUUAUAAUUUAGUGGUUUUGUCAACUAUAUAUUUUUCUCUAUCAGGCAAAACAGUUUUCGAG